rnacentral:rRNA from 1 species
GAUGAACGCUGGCGGCGUGCCUAAUACAUGCAAGUCGAGCGAACAGACGAGGAGCUUGCUCCUUCGACGUUAGCGGCGGACGGGUGAGUAACACGUAGGUAACCUACCUAUAAGACUGGGAUAACUUCGGGAAACCGGAGCUAAUGCCGGAUAAUAUUUCGAACCGCAUGGUUCGAUAGUGAAAGAUGGCUUUGCUAUCACUUAUAGAUGGACCUGCGCCGUAUUAGCUAGUUGGUAAGGUAACGGCUUACCAAGGCAACGAUACGUAGCCGACCUGAGAGGGUGAUCGGCCACACUGGAACUGAGACACGGUCCAGACUCCUACGGGAGGCAGCAGUAGGGAAUCUUCCGCAAUGGGCGAAAGCCUGACGGAGCAACGCCGCGUGAGUGAUGAAGGUCUUCGGAUCGUAAAACUCUGUUAUUAGGGAAGAACAAACGUGUAAGUAACUGUGCACGUCUUGACGGUACCUAAUCAGAAAGCCACGGCUAACUACGUG